rnacentral:lncRNA from 1 species
AAGACACAGAAAGGCCAAGUAAUUUGUCCAACUUCAUAUGCUAGACUGGAAGAAGGAGCCCAGCCUCAAGUCAGGAAAAGGAGGAAAGAGAACACCUGACAUUUGCCACUGAGGUGGAAUAAAGGAAUCGUCUUCGUCUUUACAGUUUUAGAAAUGAAGAAAUGAAUCUUAGAGAGCUUAAAGUGAGUCGUCCAAAGAAGCACAACUAGUAAUUGGAAGAUCGGUUAUGUCAACUAAGGCCUAUCUGACCUCAGAGUCCACUGCCUCAGACACACAAUGUCAUAAUGAAUGCUACUCCAUGGAGGAAAUUAUGUGGAUAAAGAGAAAUGAUCUGGCUAAGCAUGUUUUGAACGGUUAUAAAUUCAUAUUCACAUAUGUUGUGAUAUAUGCACAUACGUAUAUAUAAAUGUAGAUAUACGAGAUAUAUAUGGAUAUAUGGAUAUAUAGAUAGACCCCCAUUUAGCACUGUCCCAUGCAACCCAGAUUAGUUCUAACAUUAUUUAGUUCUAAAUCAAUUUCUUGAUACCAGUGGUUUUUAAAAUGUGCCACUGAGGUCAGCAGUCAGUCUCGGCAUCACUUGGGGACUUGGUAGAUCAGAAAUGCAGAUUCUAGAGCCCCACCCCACACUACUGAAUCAAGAACUCAGGGAGUAAGACUCAGUCUUCUGGUAUUUUGUUGGGGUAGUGGAGGGAAGGGGCGCCGAGCUUCCAUGUCCUCCCUUGGUGCACCACCCUCCAGGAACCUCCACAUGUUUGGCUAUCUAGAAGCUCCAGUCAUCUGUGCUUUAACAAGCCCUCUGGAUGAUUCUGAUGCAUGUUCAAGUUUAAGAGGCACUGAGCACUGUUGAGCUAACAUGGCAGACAGUCCAUUCUCAGCCAGGAACUAUAAAGGCACCAGACUGCAGUGCAGUCAGCCAUUGAGCUCUUCAUUGUCAUAUAAAGAAACCUAUAGCUUCUCUUUUGUUAUUUCAUUUUGUAUUCUGGCAACUGGUUUUGACUCUCAAAGACUAAAAAAAUCGUGCACGUAAUAUGCCGGCUUUACCCCGGGGCAAAGAGGAUGAGUAUUAGGUUGAGUAUUAAAACAAAGCCUUCCCAGAAAAUCAAGGUGUGUUCAAAGAAAUGGUCCAGAAAACAGGGAAUUACAGAUGAGUUGAUACUUUUAUGUUAUGGAGGGCAUGAUAAGCAUUAAUGCCUCCUAGGACAACCGACCAGCAUUUCUAGAAAGAACAGCAGAAAGACAUUGGUUGAAGCCAUGUCAUGGCAUCAGGGGAUUUGAAGAAAACCGAAGAGGUAUUACAGAGAACCCUACCAUAAACAUGAUGCUAGAUGGUGUGUGUGUGUGCACACAUGUGGGCACAUACCCAUAUUACUUACCAUAUCUUUGGCAUAUAACAUGGACUUCAGAAUUAGUCCAAGUUCCUAGUUGGUUUCCGGUUGGGUCUGCCACUUCCUAAUGGUUACCUUGGGUAAACUACUUAAUAUUCCCAAUCUACAGUUUCCUUAUCUGGGGAAUGUGGGUAAUAAUAGUAUAACCCUAGUACAGAAAGUAUUAUUUUGAUAUAGCACUUAGCAUAAACCCUG